rnacentral:rRNA from 1 species
UGCGCAGGCGGUUUUGUAAGACAGUGGUGAAAUCCCCGGGCUCAACCUGGGAACUGCCAUUGUGACUGCAAGGCUGGAGUGCGGCAGAGGGGGAUGGAAUUCCGCGUGUAGCAGUGAAAUGCGUAGAUAUGCGGAGGAACACCGAUGGCGAAGGCAACCCCCUGGGCCUGCACUGACGCUCAUGCACGAAAGGCUGGGGGGCAAACA